rnacentral:misc_RNA from 1 species
AACGCACGAGACCUGCGGACCUGCGGAAGGAUCAUUAAUGAGAAGCUGCCCCUCGUGGGUAGACCUCCCACCCUCUGUGAACUUACCUUUGUUGCUUUGGCAGGCCCGUCCUCUGGACCGCCGGCUUCGGCUGGCCCGCGCCUGCCAGAGGAUUCCAAACCCUGUCUGUCAGUGUUGUCUGAGUCUAUAUGAAAUCGUUAAAACUUUCAACAACGGAUCUCUAGAUCGGAAGAGCACACG